GACCUUGUGGCCUAACGGAAAAGGCAUCGGCCUCCUAAACCGGAGAUUUUGGGUUCGAUUCCCACGAAAGGUAA